rnacentral:rRNA from 1 species
UACGGAAGGCAGCAGGGGGAAUAUUGCACAAUGGGCGAAAGCCUGAUGCAGCUAUGCCGCGUGUAUGAAGAAGGCCUUAGGGUUGUAAAGUACUUUCAUCGGGGAGGAAAAAACAAAACUAAUAAUUUUAUUUCUUGACGUUACCCGAAAAAGAAGCACCGGCUAACUCCGUGCCAGCAGCCGCGGUAAUACGGAGGGUGCUAGCGUUAAUCAGAAUUACUGGGCGUAAAGAGCACGUAGGUGGUUUUUUUAAAGUCAGAUGUGAAAUCCCUGGGCUUAACCUGGAACUGCAUUUUGAAACUGAAAUACUAGAGUAUCGUAGAGGGAGGUAGAAUUCUAGGUGUAGCGGUGAAAUGCGUAGAUAUCUGGAGGAAUACCUGUGGCGAAAGCGGCCUCCUAAACGAAUACUGACACUGAGGUGCGAAAGCUGGGGAGCAAACAGGGAUUAGAUACC